rnacentral:rRNA from 1 species
GAAAAGCACUUGAAAAGAGAGUUAAAAGCACGUGAAACCGUUGAAAGGGAAACGCGCUCGGCUAGCAAUGCGCGUCUGUGGUUCAGCCGGCUAGUCUUGUCGAGUCGUCGUGUGAUGGAUCCGAAUGGACUGUCCGCGGCGGCGGCGGUGGGCGAGCUAAGGUGCACUCCAUGGGCGUGCGCGUCAGCGUCGGUUCUCGACGGACGACAAGGUGUGUGGGAAAGGUAGCUCGGUCUUCGGACGGAGUGUUAUAGACCCGUGCACUGGGUUCGUUGUGGGACCGAGGAGAGAGAUGAUCGCUGCGGCACCUGCCUCUCGGGGCUAGCCAGCUGUUGUCAGGUGUGCGCCAGGCGCCGAGGACUGCACGCAGUGCUUGGUGUUGAGGUGUGAUCUGGUGGCGGUGUGGGUAUAGAGGUGCCUAGGACGCUGGCGUCCAAAUGGCCGUGCGCGACCCGUCUUGAAAACACGGAA